UACGUAGGGGGCAAGCGUUAUCCGGAAUUACUGGGUGUAAAGGGUGAGUAGGCGGCAUGGUAAGCCAGAUGUGAAAGCCUUCGGCUUAACCGGAGUAGUGCAUUGGAAACUGGGAGACUUGAGUGCAGAAGAGGAGAGUGGAACUCCAUGUGUAGCGGUGAAAUGCGUAGAUAUAUGGAAGAACACCAGUGGCGAAAGCGGCUCUCUGGUCUGUAACUGACGCUGAGGUUCGAAAGCGUGGGUAGCAAACAGG
rnacentral:rRNA from 1 species